UACGUAGGUGGCGAGCGUUGUCCGGAAUUACUGGGUGUAAAGGGUGCGUAGGCGGGUAUACAAGUCAGAUGUGAAAACCCUUGGCUCAACCAGGGGACUGCAUCUGAAACUGUAUAUCUUGAGUGUUGGAGAGGAAAGCGGAAUUCCUAGUGUAGCGGUGAAAUGCGUAGAUAUUAGGAGGAACACCAGUGGCGAAGGCGGCUUUCUGGACAAUAACUGACGCUGAUGCACGAAAGCGUGGGGAGCGAACAGG
rnacentral:rRNA from 1 species